UUAAGUUAAUAAGGGCGCACGGUGGAUGCCUUGGCACUAGAAGCCGAUGAAGGACGUGACUAACGACGAAAUGCUUUGGGGAGCUGUAAGUGAGCAAUGAUCCAGAGAUGUCCGAAUGGGGGAACCCGGCAGGUAAUGCCUGUCACUCAUUACUGUUAAGGUAAUGUAGAGGAAGACGCAGUGAACUGAAACAUCUAAGUAGCUGCAGGAAGAGAAAGCAAAAGCGAUUGCCUUAGUAGCGGCGAGCGAAACGGCAAGAGGGCAAACCGAAGAGUUUACUCUUCGGGGUUGUAGGACUGCAACGUGGACUUAAAGAUUAUAGAAGAACUACCUGGGAAGGUAGGCCAAAGAGAGUAAUAGCCUCGUAUUCGAAAUAGUCUUUAUACCUAGCAGUAUCCUGAGUACGGCGAGACACGAGAAAUCUCGUCGGAAUCUGGGAGGACCAUCUCCCAACCCUAAAUACUCUCUAGUGACCGAUAGUGAACCAGUACCGUGAGGGAAAGGUGAAAAGCACCCCGGGAGGGGAGUGAAAUAGAACCUGAAACCGUGUGCCUACAACAAGUUCGAGCCCGUUAAUGGGUGAGAGCGUGCCUUUUGUAGAAUGAACCGGCGAGUUACGAUAUGAUGCGAGGUUAAGUUGAAGAGACGGAGCCGUAGGGAAACCGAGUCUUAAUAGGGCGCAUUAGUAUCAUGUCGUAGACCCGAAACCAUGUGACCUACCCAUGAGCAGGUUGAAGGUGAGGUAAAACUCACUGGAGGACCGAACCAGGGCACGUUGAAAAGUGCUUGGAUGACUUGUGGGUAGCGGAGAAAUUCCAAACGAACUUGGAGAUAGCUGGUUCUCUCCGAAAUAGCUUUAGGGCUAGCGUCGAUGUUAAGUCUCUUGGAGGUAGAGCACUGUUUGGGUGAGGGGUCCAUCCCGGAUUACCAAUCUCAGAUAAACUCCGAAUGCCAACGAGAUAUAAUCGGCAGUCAGACUGCGAGUGCUAAGAUCCGUAGUCGAAAGGGAAACAGCCCAGACCACCAGCUAAGGUCCCAAAAUAUAUGUUAAGUGGAAAAGGAUGUGGGGUUGCACAGACAACUAGGAUGUUAGCUUAGAAGCAGCUAUUCAUUCAAAGAGUGCGUAAUAGCUCACUAGUCGAGUGACCCUGCGCCGAAAAUGUACCGGGGCUAAAACAUAUUACCGAAGCUGUGGAUACCUUUAUAGGUAUGGUAGGAGAGCGUUCUAUGUGCGAAGAAGGUGUACCGUGAGGAGUGCUGGAGCGCAUAGAAGUGAGAAUGCCGGUAUGAGUAGCGAAAGACAGGUGAGAAUCCUGUCCACCGUAAGACUAAGGUUUCCAGGGGAAGGCUCGUCCGCCCUGGGUUAGUCGGGACCUAAGGAGAGACCGAAAGGUGUAUCCGAUGGACAACAGGUUGAUAUUCCUGUACUAGAGUAUAUAGUGAUGGAGGGACGCAGUAGGCUAACUAAACCAGACGAUUGGAAGUGUCUGGCCAAGCAGUGAGGUGUGAUAUGAGUCAAAUGCUUAUAUCUAUAACAUUGAGCUGUGAUGGGGAGCGAAGUUUAGUAGCGAAGUUAGUGAUGUCACACUGCCGAGAAAAGCUUCUAGCGUUAAUUAUACUCUACCCGUACCGCAAACCGACACAGGUAGUCGAGGCGAGUAGCCUCAGGUGAGCGAGAGAACUCUCGUUAAGGAACUCGGCAAAAUGACCCCGUAACUUCGGGAGAAGGGGUGCUGACUUUAAGUCAGCCGCAGUGAAUAGGCCCAAGCAACUGUUUAUCAAAAACACAGCUCUCUGCUAAAUCGUAAGAUGAUGUAUAGGGGGUGACGCCUGCCCGGUGCUGGAAGGUUAAGAGGAGUGCUUAGCGUAAGCGAAGGUAUGAAUUGAAGCCCCAGUAAACGGCGGCCGUAACUAUAACGGUCCUAAGGUAGCGAAAUUCCUUGUCGGGUAAGUUCCG
rnacentral:rRNA from 1 species